UACGUAGGGUGCAGGCGUUAAUCGGAAUUACUGGGCGUAAAGCGUGCGUAGGCGGUUUGUUAAGACAGGUGUGAAAUCCCCGGGCUUAACCUGGGAACUGCGCUUGUUACUGGCAGACUGGAGUGUGGCAGAGGGGGGUGGAAUUCCACGUGUAGCAGUGAAAUGCGUAGAGAUGUGGAGGAACACCGAUGGCGAAGGCAGCCCCCUGGGCUAACACUGACGCUGAUGCACGAAAGCGUGGGGAG
rnacentral:rRNA from 1 species